rnacentral:rRNA from 1 species
GACGAACGCUGGCGGCGUGCUUAACACAUGCAAGUCGAACGGAAAGGCCCUUCGGGGUACUCGAGUCGCGAACGGGUGAGUAACACGUGGGUGAUCUGCCCUGCACUUUGGGAUAAGCCUGGGAAACUGGGUCUAAUACCGAAUAGGACCACGCGCUUCAUGGUGUGUGGUGGAAAGCUUUUGCGGUGUGGGAUGGGCCCGCGGCCGAUCAGCUUGUUGGUGGGGUAAUGGCCUACCAAGGCGACGACGGGUAGCCGGCCUGAGAGGGUGACCGGCCACACUGGGACUGAGAUACGGCCCAGACUCCUACGGGAGGCAGCAGUGGGGAAUAUUGCACAAUGGGCGCAAGCCUGAUGCAGCGACGCCGCGUGAGGGAUGACGGCCUUCGGGUUGUAAACCUCUUUCACCAGGGACGAAGCGUAAGUGACGGUACCUGGAGAAGAAGCACCGGCCAACUACGUG